CUCCACUCCAGGCUCCUGCACCUGCAAAUUUUACGCUUCAACUCCUUCAACCAUAAUAAUCCAUCUUUUUCCUUACAACAUUGCAAUAAAUCUCUCUCCUAACGCCAUUACAAUCCAUCUCUCUUCUUCCAUCAUUACAAUCCAUCUCUGUCUUAACACCAUUACAAUCCAUUUCACAACUUACACCAUUCUCCGACCAAAGAUGACUUAAAGGAAAACUGUAGCAUUACUAAUACAAACUGUAGUGCAGUUUGGUUCUCUCUCCCCACAGGAGACAGAAAAUAAGGUGAUUUUCUAACCCUG